rnacentral:rRNA from 1 species
UGAUCCUGCCAGUACUAUAUGCUUGUCUCAAAGCCUAGCCAUGCAAAUGUAAGAUCAAUCAUAUGCGGUUUCGGCCGUGUAUAAUGAUAGUCUGUGGAAGGCUCAUUAUAACAGUUAUACUCCUAGCCACUGGAAAGUUUACAAGGAUACCACCGUUAACUGCAGCGAUAAUACUUGUUCCCUUCGGGGUGGUAAUAGUAUUUGUGCUGAAGCCUAGCUAUUGUAACCUAGUUUUUCGGGUGUGGCAACAUAUUCGGGGGAUUAGGAAUCGACCGCUAGCAGGUGCCUUCGGGCGCGGGAAAGUGAAUUAACAAGGUUUUCAUAAGGCCUUUCAGGUUUGCUUUUUCUAGUGGCCAGGCAGAGGAGUUUCUUACCUAUCAGCUCGUUGUUUGUUUAAAGGACAAACCAGGCUUUGACGGGUACGGGGAAUCAGUGUUCGAUUCCGGAGAGGGAGCCUGAGAAAUCGCUACCACAUCUAAGGACGGCAGCAGGCGCGCAAAUUACCCAAUCUCAAUACGAGGAGGUAGUGACAAGCUAUAGUGACUCCACACCAUUCGGUGGGGAGGUAUUGUCUUCUGACGAUUUUCCAUGAUUUGGGUGUAGAUAACCCUUAGAGUAGCCAUUGGAGGAAAAGUCUGGUGCCAGCACCCGCGGUAAUUCCAGCUCCAAGAGCGUAUAUUAAUACUGCUGUAGUUAAAACGCCCGUAGUAUACCUAAGAGUGGGUGUGUAGUAAUUAGUUUUACCAGAGGACGGUUGGCGAGAGUUUAUCACUCUUGUUUGCCUACUUUUGGUAGACUUUAGUCGGGCUGGAUCUUUGGUCCUCGUCUGACAGUUGCUACGUACUUACUUACCACGGUUCAUCCGUGAGGCCCUUGGCUUGCAACUGUAAAUAAAUCGUUGUGCUUAAAGCGGGCUAUGAUACUCUGCCAGAGCGAUUUAGCAUGGGACUGCAGAGUAGCUGUAUUUGAGCGAAGGUUGCACCUCGGUGUGGCUGGAGCUUGGUACAGCGCUUGUAGUGGAGCUCAGGGUGAGGCCCCGGGUACCAUGAGGCUAGAGGUGAAAUUCUGAGACCCUCAUGUGACCAACUAAGGCGAAAGCUGUCGUGGGCCACCACAAGCUCGUCUAUCAGGGACGAAAGUUGGGGGAUCGAAGACGAUUAGAUACCGUCGUAGUCCCAACUAUAAACGAUACCAACCGAGUAUUUGGGAAGACACUAUCCCAGCGAUCUUCUCAGAACUCAAGGGAAACCUUAAGUCUUUGGGUUCUGGGGGGAGUAUAGUCGCAAGACCGAAACUUAAAGG